UACGUAGGGUGCGAGCGUUAAUCGGAUUUACUGGGCGUAAAGCGUGCGCAGGCGGCCCGUUAAGACAGAUGUGAAAUCCCUGGGCUCAACCCCGGAAGUGCAUUGGAAACUGCUCUGCUUGAGUACCGGAGAGGAAGGGGGAAUUCCCGGUGUAGCGGUGAAAUGCGUAGAGAUCAGGAGGAACACCGAUGGCGAAGGCAGCCCCCUGGGCCUGUACUGACGCUCAUGCACGAAAGCGUGGGGAGCAAACAGG
rnacentral:rRNA from 1 species